AACACCCCCACACCCGCAGCCGCCUCCCCCUCCAAAACAAACCACCCCCAGCAACUCCAAGCAACAGCAACUCCGAUACCUCCUACUUCAACAAUACCACUUCCCAAGAACACCGCCCUCCACCUCGCUCCACAACCUAUAUCCCACAAGGUAGAGCACUACAGUGAAGAGGAGCAGGAGGAAGACGAGGACGAAGAAGAAGAGGGUGAGGAGGGUGGUGGUGUAGCUCAGCUCGCCCAAGCCGCGCGCGUGUCGAGGGGAAAGGGGAGGAGGAGGACGAGGAGAGGAAGGAGAAGGCGGGGCGAGGUGGUGACU
rnacentral:lncRNA from 1 species